AGAAACGCCCACUGAAUUUCCUACUUUCAUUUUUGAAAAAUCUUCUAUUUGGAGAUAGAUUUGUACGCAUCUAUUUACAUUUUAUCUGCGAAAGAAAAUACACUUGCUCAGUUGCUGAAGUGGCUCUCUUUCUCGUCCUUAAGAGCACACAUAACUUCUAAAACGUAAAAAAAAAACAUGUGAAAGAUUGCUAUUCUACAGUGGACCUUGAUAAAUUCUGAUGGAAAGGAAGUAAUACAAAGAGAUACAAAACACGAUUUUAAAAGGACAAAGAUGUAAUGGGUGAAAAUGGAAGAAAAGAAAAAGAAAUACCAAACAAGAUUUUCCAGGGAUUUACAGGUCAUUGGUGAAAAUUGAAGAAAAGAUAAAUGAAAUAACAAAAAUAGUUAAAUGAUUUACAACCAAGCAGCACUCAGCAAUAGUGAUGAUGGUUAAACAAGAUUUAGUGCCUACCACACAGUUAAGAAAGCAUGAGAGACAAGAAUGUCUACAGAACAGAGGAGACUAUUUUUACUGCACUUAGAUUUGUGUUUUAGUUAUAUUCAAUUAGUAUUAAAGAGCUACGUACAAUAAAUCAUGUUAUAUUA